GUCAUGCCCGACGCACACACCUGGGCUAUACGAGCGACACCUCUCCAGACGAGAAGAUACGUAUUCAGCUGGUGUCAGUUCCUAUGUACGGCAUCCUGACCAGGACAGGGUCAGACUCAGACCAGCAGGAGAUGACAGAAUACUCCUCAUUCACCGUGGACGACAUCAACAAACACCGGAUCAGCUACAUCACUUCCUUUGAGAUAGGAAAUCAGCCGGUGACGGACAUCUUCCAUUUCAUUGUUAAGACGGUGAGAACAAUCGCCUUGACAACCAGAUGUGUACCAUCACCAUCACCUCAUGAAGAGA